rnacentral:rRNA from 1 species
AGAGUUUGAUCAUGGCUCAGGACGAACGCUGGCGGCGUGCCUAAUACAUGCAAGUCGAGCGCAGGAAGCAGACUGAAUCCUUCGGGAGGACGUCUGUGGAAUGAGCGGCGGAUGGGUGAGUAUCACGUGGGUAACCUGCCUGUAAGCUCGGGAUAACUCCGGGAAACCGGAGCUAAUACCGAAUAAGGUUUUCGUUCGCAUGAACGAAAAAUGAAAGGCGGCUUAUGCUGUCACUUACAGAUGGACCCGCGGCGCAUUAGCUAGUUGGUGAGAUAAUGGCUCACCAAAGCCACGAUGCGUAGCCGACCUGAGAGGGUGAUCGGCCACACUGGGACUGAGACACGGCCCAGACUCCUACGGGAGGCAGCAGUAGGGAAUCUUCCGCAAUGGACGCAAGUCUGACGGAGCAACGCCGCGUGAGUGAUGAAGGUCUUCGGAUCGUAAAACUCUGUUAUUAGGGAAGAACAAGUAUCAACCGAAUAAGUUGGUACCUUGACGGUACUUAAUCAGAAAGCCCCGGCUAACUACGUGCCAGCAGCCGCGGUAAUACGUAGGGGGCAAGCGUUGUCCGGAAUUAUUGGGCGUAAAGGGCUCGCAGGCGGUUUCUUAAGUCUGAUGUGAAAUCUUGUGGCUUAACCACAAGCGGUCAUUGGAAACUGGGAGACUUGAGUACAGAAGAGGAGAGUGGAAUUCCACGUGUAGCGGUGAAAUGCGUAGAGAUGUGGAGGAACACCAGUGGCGAAGGCGACUCUCUGGUCUGUAACUGACGCUGAGGAGCGAAAGCGUGGGGAGCGAACAGGAUUAGAUACCCUGGUAGUCC